GCCCCCGCCGUAUAGUGGUUAGUAUAGGGGAUUGUGGAUCCCCGGAUAGGGGUUCGAUCCCCCUCGGGGGCC
rnacentral:tRNA from 1 species